rnacentral:rRNA from 1 species
GCUACGGGAGGCAGCAGUGGGGAAUAUUGCACAAUGGGCGCAAGCCUGAUGCAGCGACGCCGCGUGCGGGAUGGAGGCCUUCGGGUUGUAAACCGCUUUUGUUCAAGGGCAAGGCACGGUCUUUGGCCGUGUUGAGUGGAUUGUUCGAAUAAGCACCGACUAACUACGUGCCAGCAGCCGCGGUAAUACGGAGGAUGCGAGCGUUAUCCGGAUUUAUUGGGUUUAAAGGGUGCGUAGGCGGGCAUUUAAGCCGGCGGUCAAAUGUCGGGGCUCAACCCCGGCCUGCCGUCGUAACUGGGUGCCUUGAGUGGGCGAGAAGUAUGCGGAAUGCGUGGUGUAGCGGUGAAAUGCAUAGAUAUCACGCAGAACCCCGAUUGCGAAGGCAGCAUACCGGCGCCCUACUGACGCUGAGGCACGAAAGUGCGGGUAUCGAACAGGAUUAGAUACCCCUGUAGUC